rnacentral:ribozyme from 12 species
AAAAAUAAAGGGCUAAAGAAAAAAAAACGAAAAACUCAAUAUGUUCUUCGUUCUUCGGCCACACCUUGUUCUUCUUCUCUCUUUUUUUUUUUCCUCUUCUUUUUUUUUGUUAUUCUGCCU